AGGACGAACGCUGGCGGCGUGCUUAACACAUGCAAGUCGAGCGGAAAGGCCCUUCGGGGUACUCGAGCGGCGAACGGGUGAGUAACACGUGAGUAAUCUGCCUUCAGCUCUGGGAUAGCUCCGGGAAACCGGGAUUAAUACCGGAUAUGACCACUUCGGACAUCUGUUGUGGUGGAAAGUUUUUCGGCUGGAGAUGAGCUCGCGGCCUAUCAGCUUGUUGGUGGGGUAAAGGCCUACCAAGGCGACGACGGGUAGCCGGCCUGAGAGGGCGACCGGCCACACUGGGACUGAGACACGGCCCAGACUCCUACGGGAGGCAGCAGUGGGGAAUAUUGCGCAAUGGGCGGAAGCCUGACGCAGCGACGCCGCGUGGGGAUGGAAGGCCUUCGGGUUGUAAACCCCUUUCAGCAGGACGAAGCGCAAGUGACGGUACCUGCAGAAGAAGCGCCGGCUAACUACGCGCCAGCAGCCGC
rnacentral:rRNA from 1 species